GUGUCUUCUCUCUUGCCUCCCCCAUCUAUGGGGAGUAGUAGCUCCGUUGAUAGAGUGUUUGCCUGGCAUGCAAUAAACCCUGGGUUCAAUCCCCAGCACGGCACAAAUCAGGCAUGGUGGGGGCAUGGUGACAUGCACCUGUAAACCCAGUAGAGAUUGGGAGAGUCAGAGGUUCAAGGUCAUCCUUGACUACACAGUAAGUUCAUGGCCAGAUGAGAUCCGUGAAACCCUGUCUCGGAAUAUGAAGGGAGGCAGAGAGAGAGCCCAGUGGGUGAAAGAAUUUGCCAUGCAAGCCCAACGACCCACAUUUGAUCCUUAGAACCCAUGUAAAACACCAGUUUAUUUGUCUGUAAUCCCCGUACCCCAUCCUGAGACGGUGGCAACAGGAGAACCAUCCAGAAGCUCGAGGGCCAGCUAGACUUCAGUUCAAAGCUUCAACGAUAGAAGCAGCAAGAAGGACCCUGCCUCAGCAAGAUGGAAGGAAAGAGCCCCAAAACUGUCCUUAGACCUUCAGGUCCUCCCCAUGUAGGCUAGCCUUGAGUGCAAUCCUCCUGCCUCACCCUUCAAGCGUUUUUUGGUUACAAGUGUAGGAUUCACAAUUCUGUUUCACGGAAGCCGCCUGACCUAAGGAUCCUUGGCACCAACUUCCUAGUUGGAAAUCUGACUCCUGUCGAUUUACUGCGUGAGGUCUGGCAAGACUUUCAACCUCACCCAAGCUUGAUUUGAUAGAAAGGGGACAAUAACACUUCAGAAAAUUAUGGAAGUCCCCCAUCCUCAUUGGAACCUGUCCAAAGGAGGCACAGGAACCAGGGCGUUCUGGUGACUGAUCUGGGUGAGGCUCCAGUCUCUCCUAGGGACUUGAGAAGAUCAGAGGUGAUCCGCUAGGGCUUCUGAAAGAGAAGUGACUCUGGCAGUUUGGGCACAUUGUCCUGAAGUCAUCUAUCCCAGGGGAAGUGUGGACCACUCCUAAAGACUGACCAUGCCCCACAUAUUUGGAUUUUGCUUUCUACCAUGUGAUGGUGUGUGAUUGCUGCGGUGCUAGAAUCUUUCCAACACUCCAGGUCAAACUUUGUUUGUUUGUUUGUUUGUUUGUUUUAUUGCUGUACAAAUACAAACAUCAAUUUUCAGCAAA